rnacentral:rRNA from 1 species
CCUACGGGUGGCAGCAGUGGGGGAUAUUGGACAAUGGGGGAAACCCUGAUCCAGCGAUGCCGCGUGAGGGAAGAAGGUUUUCGGAUUGUAAACCUCUGUGAAGGGGGACGAUAAUGACGGUACCCCUUUAGGAAGCCACGGCUAACUACGUGCCAGAAGCCGCGGUAAUACGUAGGUGGCGCGGGUUGUCCGGAAUUACUGGGUGUAAAGGGAGUGUAGGCGGGAAAGCAGGUCAGAAGUGAAAACUAUGGGCUUAACCCAUAGCCUGCUUUUGAAACUGUUUUUCUUGAGUGAAGUAGAGGUAAGCGGAAUUCCUAGUGUAGCGGUGAAAUGCGUAGAUAUUAGGAAGAACACCAGUGGCGAAGGCGGCUUGCCGGGCUGUUACUGACGCUGAGGUGCGAAAGCGUGGGUAGCAAACAGGAUUAGAUACCCUUGUAGUC